rnacentral:rRNA from 1 species
AGGUCAAAUCAUCAUGCCCCUUAUGUCUUGGGCGUCACACGUGCUACAAUGGCUUUUACAAAGUGAAGCGAGGCCGCGAGGCGGAGCAAAUCACAAAAAGGAGUCCCAGUUCGGAUUGUAGUCUGCAACCCGACUACAUGAAGUUGGAAUCGCUAGUAAUCGCGAAUCAGCACGUCGCGGUGAAUACGUUCCCGGGUCUU